GAUGAACGCUGGCGGCGUGCCUAAUACAUGCAAGUCGAACGAAGAGAGAAGCUUGCUUCUCUUUUAGUGGCGAACGGGUGAGUAAUACAUAAGCAACCUACCUAUUUGACCGGGAUAACAGUUGGAAACGACUGCUAAUACCGGAUAGGUGCGCGGGGGACAUCCCCUGCACAUUAAAGCUGGGACACAGCACGAAUGGAUGGGCUUAAGGCGCAUUAGUUAGUUGGCGGGGUAACGGCCCACCAAGACGAUGAUGCGUAGCCGACCUGAGAGGGUGACCGGCCACACUGGGACUGAGACACGGCCCAGACUCCUACGGGAGGCAGCAGUAGGGAAUUUUCGGCAAUGGGCGCAAGCCUGACCGAGCAACGCCGCGUGAGUGAAGAAGGCCUUCGGGUUGUAAAGCUCUGUUGUAAGGGAAGAAUGGCCAAGAGAGGGAAUGCUCUUGGAGUGACGGUACCUUACCAGAAAGCCACGGCUAACUACGUGCCAGCAGCCGCCGUAACAC
rnacentral:rRNA from 1 species